AGAGCUUAGCUGAUUGGUGAACAGUGAUUGGUUUCCGCUUUGUUCACAGUGGCUAAGUUCUGC
rnacentral:ncRNA from 13 species